GACGAACGCUGGCGGCGUGCUUAACACAUGCAAGUCGAACGGAAAGGCCCUGCUUUUGUGGGGUGCUCGAGUGGCGAACGGGUGAGUAACACGUGAGUAACCUGCCCUUGACUUUGGGAUAACUUCAGGAAACUGGGGCUAAUACCGGAUAGGAGCUCCUGCUGCACGGUGGGGGUUGGAAAGUUUCGGCGGUUGGGGAUGGACUCGCGGCUUAUCAGCUUGUUGGUGGGGUAGUGGCUUACCAAGGCUUUGACGGGUAGCCGGCCUGAGAGGGUGACCGGCCACAUUGGGACUUAGAUACGGCCCAGACUCCUACGGGAGGCAGCAGUGGGGAAUAUUGCACAAUGGGCGGAAGCCUGAUGCAGCAACGCCGCGUGCGGGAUGACGGCCUUCGGGUUGUAAACCGCUUUCGCCUGUGACGAAGCGUGAGUGACGGUAAUGGGUAAAGAAGCACCGGCUAACUACGUGCCAGCAGCCGCGGUGAUACGUAAGGUGCGAGCGUUGUCCGGAUUUAUUGGGCGUAAAGGGCUCGUAGGUGGUUGAUCGCGUCGGAAGUGUAAUCUUGGGGCUUAACCCUGAGCGUGCUUUCGAUACGGGUUGACUUGAGGAAGGUAGGGGAGAAUGGAAUUCCUGGUGGAGCGGUGGAAUGCGCAGAUAUCAGGAGGAACACCAGUGGCGAAGGCGGUUCUCUGGGCCUUUCCUGACGCUGAGGAGCGGAAGCGUGGGGAGCGAACAGGCUUAGAUACCCUGGUAGUCCACGCUGUAAACGGUGGGUACUAGGUGUGGGGUCCAUUCCACGGGUUCCGUGCCGUAGCUAACGCUUUAAGUACCCCGCCUGGGGAGUACGGCCGCAAGGCUAAAACUCAAAGGAAUUGACGGGGCCCCGCACAAGCGGCGGAGCAUGCGGAUUAAUUCGAUGCAACGCGUAGAACCUUACCUGGGUUUGACAUGGAUCGGGAGCGCUCAGAGAUGGGUGUGCCUCUUUUGGGGUCGGUUCACAGGUGGUGCAUGGCUGUCGUCAGCUCGUGUCGUGAGAUGUUGGGUUAAGUCCCGCAACGAGCGCAACCCUUGUUCACUGUUGCCAGCACGUUAUGGUGGGGACUCAGUGGAGACCGCCGGGGUCAACUCGGAGGAAGGUGGGGAUGACGUCAAGUCAUCAUGCCCCUUAUGUCCAGGGCUUCACGCAUGCUACAAUGGCUGGUACAGAGAGUGGCGAGCCUGUGAGGGUGAGCGAAUCUCGGAAAGCCGGUCUCAGUUCGGAUUGGGGUCUGCAACUCGACCUCAUGAAGUCGGAGUCGCUAGUAAUCGCAGAUCAGCAACGCUGCGGUGAAUACGUUCCCGGG
rnacentral:rRNA from 1 species